CAGGACGAACGCUGGCGGCGUGCUUAACACAUGCAAGUCAAGGAGAACGGAUCCUUCGGGAUACUAUUAAACUGGCGAACGGGGGAGUAACACGUAGGCAACUUGCCAUGGAGAUUGGGAUAACCCCGGGAAACCGGGACUAAUACCAAAUAAUGCAGCGUAUCCUUCGGGAUAUGUUGUUAAAGUGGGCUUCGGCUCACACUUCAAGAUGGGCCUGCGUCCGAUUAGCUUGUUGGUGAGGUAAUGGCUCACCAAGGCGAUAAUCGGUAGCUGGUCUGAGACGAUGAUCAGCCACACUGGGAUUGAGAUACGGCCCAGACUCCUACGGGAGGCAGCAGUGGGGAAUUUUGCGCAAUGGACGAAAGUCUGACGCAGCAACUCCGCGUGAUUGAUGAAGCUUUUAGGAGUGUAAAGAUCUGUCGUGAGUGAAGAAAAAUCUGGAUGUAAAUAAUGUUCAGACUUGACGGUACCUCAUAAGAAAGCACCGGCUAACUUCGUGCCAGCAGCCGCGGUAAUACGAGGGGUUCUAGCGUUGUCCGGAAUUACUGGGCGUAAAGGGUUCGUAGGCGUCUUGCCAAGUUGAUCGUUACAGCCACCGGCUUAACCGGUGAUCUGCGAUCAAAACUGGCGAGAUAGAAUAUGUGAGGGGAAUGUGGAAUUCCUGGUGUAGCGGUGAAAUUCGUAGAUAUUAGAAAGAACACCAAUAGCGAAGGCAGCUUUCUUGAUCAUUACUGACACUGAGGAGCGAAAGCAUGGGUAGCGAAGAGGAUUAGAUACCCUCGUAGUCCAUGCCGUAAACGAUGUGUGCUAGACGUUGGAAAUUUAGUUUUCAGUGUCGCAGCAAAAGCGUUAAGCACACCGCCUGGGGAGUACGACCGCAAGGUUAAAACUCAAAUGAAUUGACGGGAACCCGCACAAGUAGUGGAGCAUGUGGUUUAAUUCGAAGAUACGCGCAGAACCUUACCAACGCUUGACAUGUUCGUCGCGAGACUAAGAGAUUAGUUUCUUCAGUUCGGCUGGACGAAACACAGGGGCUGCAUGGCUGUCGUCAGCUCGUGUCGUGAGAUGUUGGGUUAAGUCCCGCAACGAGCGCAACCCUUACUUUUAGUUGCCACCAUUUAGUUGAGCACUCUAAAAGAACUGCCAGUGAUAAGCUGGAGGAAGGCGGGGAUGACGUCAAGUCCUCAUGGCCCUUACGUGUUGGGCUACACACGUGCUACAAUGGCACUUACAAUGAGAUGCAAAGAUGCGAGUCUAAGCAAAUCUUAAAAAGGUGCCUCAGUUCGGAUUGUUCUCUGCAACUCGAGAGCAUGAAGUUGGAAUCGCUAGUAAUCGUGGAUCAGCAUGCCACGGUGAAUACGUUCCCGGGCCUUGUACACACCGCCCGUCACACCAUGGAAGUUGGUUACACCUGAAGGCAAAACGUAAAACUUUUGACUACGGUACGAUCAGCGACUGGGGUGAAGUCGUAACAAGGUAA
rnacentral:rRNA from 1 species